GUUCUCUACAGGUUGAGAGAUUGUGGCGUCACAGAUGAAGGUUGUUCUGCUCUGACUUCAGCUCUGAGAUCAAACCCCUCACACCUGAGAGAACUGGAUCUGUCUGGGAAUAAAAUAAGAGAUUUGGGAGUGAAGUGUCUCUGUGCUGGACUGGAGGAUCCUCGCUGUAAACUGGAGAAACUGCGGUUGAUGAAGUGUGACGUCACAGAUGAAGGUUGUUCUGCUCUGACUUCAGCUCUGAGAUCAAACCCCUCACACCUGAGAGAACUGAAUCUGAUUCUGAAUAAUCUACGACAAUCAGGAGUGAAGUUACUCUCUGAUCUGAAAGAUGAUCCACGUUAUAAACUGGAGACAUUACACUACUGACUCUCAGUAUUUAGACGUCAGUUCAGUUUCCUCAGGAUCAGCUGAUGGUGAAUAAGAGCCGCUACAGGAAUCAGUGAUGUGAAGUUAAAUGAAUGCAUGGAAGAGUAAUGUGUGGAGCAGUGUUGAUGAACAGAAGAAACAAGCUUCAAGGAAACUAAACAAAUUCAGCAAAAGACGUUUUUAUCCAAAGGACAUUAAGACAAUAGUUUAUAUGUUUACACAGCACUGAAAAUCAAUGUGAUAUUUUCAGUGAUGGGCUUAUAUCCUGAGCUGUCCAGAUUUAAUAUAGAUCAUCAUAACUGUGUAUCCUGAAAAUCAGAAAUAGACAACUUAUUACUACAUUUGCUUAUAUUUUAAUCUAGUCUAACAUUUGAGUGUGUAACCUUUGUAUGUAUGUGUUUAUUUUUAUUAAAAUAUGUUUCAUCUCGAGAAGAGGGACUUUCACUUGAUAUCGUCAUGAUACCUUACAUUUCUCUUGUGCUUGUGCUCUCUGUAAAUUCUUCUCUUUCACUCUCUGUGUCAGUCUGUUCUUUCUCUCUUUCAUCCUGC